rfam:Micrococcus sp. HMSC067E09 Micrococcus_spHMPREF2863-1.0_Cont163.1, whole genome shotgun sequence.
CACGGAUCCCUGAGCGUGGCCUCCAGCCGACGCGAGCCACCUGACCUGACUUCCCCUGGGCCAGGCGGAACGCGGUCGGAUGGGGAUCAGGCCCAGGGAUCCGUGUCGU